UUGGGCUAUGGAGAUAUGUAUCCAGAGACCUGGUCAGGCAUGGUGGUGGGAGCGUUGUGCGCUUUAGCCGGUGUGCUGACGAUAGCCAUGCCUGUGCCCGUUAUCGUCAAUAAC
rfam:Poecilia formosa, whole genome shotgun sequence.